rnacentral:rRNA from 1 species
GACGAACGCUGGCGGCGUGCUUAACACAUGCAAGUCGAACGGAAAGGCCCUGCUUUUGUGGGGUGCUCGAGUGGCGAACGGGUGAGUAACACGUGAGUAACCUGCCCUUGACUUUGGGAUAACUUCAGGAAACUGGGGCUAAUACCGGAUAGGAGCUCCUGCUGCAUGGUGGGGGUUGGAAAGUUUCGGCGGUUGGGGAUGGACUCGCGGCUUAUCAGCUUGUUGGUGGGGUAGUGGCUUACCAAGGCUUUGACGGGUAGCCGGCCUGAGAGGGUGACCGGCCACAUUGGUACUGAGAUACGGACCAGACUCCUACGUGAGGCAGCAGUGGGGAAUAUUGCACAAUGGGCGGAAGCCUGAUGCAGCAACGCCGCGUGCGGGAUGACGGCCUUCGGGGUGUAAACCGCUUUCGCCUGUGACGAAGCGUGAGUGACGGUAAUGGGUAAAGAAGCACCGGCUAACUACGUG